GCUUACAGCUAGAUGUCGUUACCAUCGCAUUGUUUUCUUGUCACAGGUCGGAAAGUUGUUGCUGCUUCUUUGUUAUUUUCUUGGUGUUUGUGAAAUAAAUUCAACACCAUAUCAAAUGUAAGUUUCUUAACUGAUUCUAGUGCCUCCAUAGUUUGAUUCUAUACGCCUGUAUUGUUUCAACUUGAACUUCUAGAUUAUGUGUCGCUGACUGAUUCAUAGUUGAUUCACAUAGGAGUUGAUGCAGGAAAACAGUGAAAUUCUCUUGCUACGUGCAUCUCGAGCUUUGAUUUUUUUUUUAUGAAAACAAAAUCGCCAACAACCCUUGCUGACAGCACACGCUGACAUUAUCUUAAGACCACAUGUAAAUGCUGAGUUUGAGAUGUGUCAAAUAGAUGGUGUGUUGAUUGUGUCAGUUAUGGAAUGGCAGUUUGCUGUCAAUAGUUAAGCUAUCCUUUCUUCGAAAAUUACCAAUGAAUUCAUAGUAGGAAACGUGAAAGGAUCGUGGCCGUCGUUCAGCCUACCGUCAACUAUUUUGUUCAAAAUCAUUGUAUUCUACUGAAUGUGCCAUCGAAAUGAUACAGGAGUCAUAAUUAUCUGCUGUUUGUAUUGGAUUUGCUAGAUCACCAACCCCAGCAUAGACCAAUCUCUAAUUUCAUCUUCUCGAGAGAAGAUUGGAUAACGGAUCAGUGGUUUCAUGUGUUCUUAACUCCAGGUUUCUAAAUUUGCAGAUUGGCAGACU